GGCUGGUUCUGGGGGUGGAAAAGCUGCUUUCCAGCCUCUCUGCUGAGUGUGUCCCUACAGGAGCUGAUUCAGGUGUGGGUUUGGACUUUCAGGAAGUGUUGGAGGUGGAUGGCACCUGGGCUGUCCCGGGUGCCUCCUGGGAAGAGCUGAGCUGGGAGAAGGUUGGACUCGAUGGCCUUAGAGACCUUUUCCCACCUUUUCCGUGAUUCUGUGAGGUGACUGCUCCCGUUUCACGGCGGUUUGCGGAUCAAACCCAAGGUGAUGGAUCCUGAGUCGCUCCCGGCCCUUUGUGGCCCAACACGACAAGACCUGCCCACGGUGUCACACUGACCCCGACCCAUCCCGUGACGCUGCUGUGUCCCCAGGAGGGGCUGUCCCGGUGGGCGCAGGGGGAACACCGGCCCGGGGUGAGGAAAGGCCAUCCCGAGGAGCGCAGGGAGGUGCACGGAGCCCGGGGCAGACGGAAACGUUUAAAUAGCGGCUGAGCAUCCCGCGGCGGGGCUGGGCGGCAGCGGCGCCUGGGGAGCGCUGCGGGGCCCUGCGGAGCCGCUAAUGGGCCGAGUCCAUUUCAGCGGGAUGACGCCACUUGGGUAAAGCGUUAAGAGCUCCGGGAAGGCAGCGCAGAGCGAGGGGGAGCGCGAUGCUCCCGGGCAGCGCCAGGUCCCUCCCUCCUCCCUCCAUCCCUCCUCCUCCUCCUCCCUCCUCCCAGCCUCCCGUUCCCACCGAGCGCGGGCCCCCCCCCGCCGCUCCCGCUGCCCGCGGCGCGGGGCUCGGCUGCGGGGCCGGGGCUGCCCCGCUGCCCGCCCCGGGGCUGCCCCCGCCGCUCUCGGGCUCCGUGGGCGGAUGGACCGGCGGCGGCUGCUGCGGGAUUUUACCUGUGGCCCCUUCACCUACUUGAAAGUGGUGGCCGCCCCGUCCUGCCGAGCGUGGGCAAUGCCGGAGGGAGCCUCCUCCUGGAACGGCGUCUUCCUGCGGGCCCGGGCACCGCGACAAUAUCCGUGUCAUGGAGGGAUCACUCUUGCAAUCUGCCUUCUCUGUCCCGGGGAAGCUGGCUGUGCACAGGAAGCACAUAUCCCACAUGGAAAUCUGGGCUGGAAGUGCUGGGGGGGAAGCUUGUGGCUGGGCUCUGGCAUGCAGUGAGUGAUGUCCAUCCUCUGGGCACUCCUGGGCAGCUCCGUGUGCAGGUGGCCAGAGCGGGAGCUCCCAGGGCCAUGAGCUGUCCCAUGGCUCCCCGUGGUCCCCCUCCUCUCCUAGCCCCACCGAGGGUUCUCCCUCACAAGGUCUGGCAGAUGCAGGUUUGGAGAUGGAGCUGCUGCCAUGGGGUCAAGCUUGCCAGGAAGGUGAGUGGUGGGACAUGGAGUCGUCCCUGCCCUGACCCACAGCCCUCAGUGGUGCUGAUGUUCCUGGGCACGGCAGGCUCUGCGGCCAGCACUGCCACCUGGGAAGUGCCACAUCCUGAAAACAACGGCAAAGGGCACGUCAGGGUGGUGUGAGGGGCAUGACAGGGCUUUUCUGUGCCAAGGCUGCCUUCCCUCAUGUCUGUGCCAGCUUUGAGGGGGUUCCCUGCCCUUCAAACUGCCCUUCCCAAUGCUCCUGAUGGGGCACAUUGGCUCCUGGGCUGUGGAUGGGGUCGUGGGAUGCUGCAGUCCACCAGGAUUUGGAGUCUGCGGGACAGUCCUGUCCUUGGACAAAUGUGGGGCUCAUUAGUUGCAAUUUUAUCCCUGGGAGUGUUCAAAAAAAAAGUGGAUGCGGCACUUGAGAACAUGGUUCAGUGGUAAAUGUGGUGGUGCUGGGUUGAUGGUUGGAGUUGCUGAUCUUAAAGGGCUUUUGCAACCAUAACCAUUCCGUGAUUCUAAUUUGUCCCUGCUGCUACCUAGAGUUGACUGUGUUCAGAUUCCCCAUCCCAGUGCUCCCAGUGUGCACAGGGAAUGG
ensembl:lncRNA